UACGGGGGGAGCAAGCGUUGUUCGGAUUUACUGGGCGUAAAGGGCGCGUAGGCGGUCGUGACAAGUCACUUGUGAAAUCUCCGGGCUUAACUCGGAACGGUCAAGUGAUACUGUCGGACUAGAGUACAGAAGGGGCAACUGGAAUUCUCGGUGUAGCGGUGAAAUGCGUAGAUAUCGAGAGGAACACCUGCGGCGAAGGCGGGUUGCUGGGCUUGGUCUGACGCUGAGGCGCGAAAGCGUGGGGAGCGAACAGG
rnacentral:rRNA from 1 species